GGACGAACGCUGGCGGCGUGCUUAACACAUGCAAGUCGAACGGAAAGGCCUCUGCUUGCAGAGGUACUCGAGUGGCGAACGGGUGAGUAACACGUGGGUGAUCUGCCUUGCACUUCGGGAUAAGCCUGGGAAACUGGGUCUAAUACCGGAUAGGACCAUGCUUUAGUGUGUGUGGUGGAAAGUUUUUCGGUGCAAGAUGAGCCCGCGGCCUAUCAGCUUGUUGGUGGGGUAAUGGCCUACCAAGGCGACGACGGGUAGCCGGCCUGAGAGGGUGUACGGCCACAUUGGGACUGAGACACGGCCCAGACUCCUACGGGAGGCAGCAGUGGGGAAUAUUGCACAAUGGGCGCAAGCCUGAUGCAGCGACGCCGCGUGGGGGAUGAAGGCCUUCGGGUUGUAAACUCCUUUCGCUAGGGAAGAAGCCUUUUUGGUGACGGUACCUGGAUAAGAAGCACCGGCUAACUACGU
rnacentral:rRNA from 2 species